rnacentral:rRNA from 1 species
UACGUAGGGUGCGAGCGUUGUCCGGAAUUAUUGGGCGUAAAGAGCUCGUAGGCGGUGUGUCACGUCGGCCGUGAAAACCUGGGGCUUAACUCUGGGCGUGCGGUCGAUACGGGCAUCACUAGAGUUCGGCAGGGGAGACUGGAAUUCCUGGUGUAGCGGUGGAAUGCGCAGAUAUCAGGAGGAACACCGGUGGCGAAGGCGGGUCUCUGGGCCGAUACUGACGCUGAGGAGCGAAAGCAUGGGUAGCGAACAGG